CCUACGGGAGGCAGCAGUGAGGAAUAUUGGUCAAUGGACGAGAGUCUGAACCAUCCAAGUCGCGUGAAGGAUGACUGCCCUAUGGGUUGUAAACUUCUUUUAUAUGGACAUAAAACAGGGUAUGCAUACCCUCUUUUAUGUCACAUAUGAAUAAGGAUCGGCUAACUCCGUACCCACAGCCGCGGGAAUAAGGAGGAUCCGAGCGUUGUCCGGAUUUAUUGGGUUUAAAGGGAGCUUCGGUGGAUUUUUAAGUCAGUUGUGAAAGUUUUCGGCUCAACCGUAAAAUUGCAGUUGAAACUGUCAGUCUUGAGUACAGGAGAGGCGGGCGGAAUUCGUGGUGUAGCGGUGAAAUGCUUAGAUAUUACGAAGAACUCCGAUUGCGAAGGCAGCCCACUGGACUGCAACUGACACUGAUGCUCGAAAGUGUGGGUAUCAAACAGGAUUAGAUACCCGUGUAGUC
rnacentral:rRNA from 1 species